rnacentral:rRNA from 1 species
GCCCCGGUAAACGGCGGCCGUAACUAUAACGGUCCUAAGGUAGCGAAAUUCCUUGUCGGGUAAGUUCCGACCUGCACGAAUGGCGUAAUGAUGGCCAGGCUGUCUCCACCCGAGACUCAGUGAAAUUGAACUCGCUGUGAAGAUGCAGUGUACCCGCGGCAAGACGGAAAGACCCCGUGAACCUUUACUAUAGCUUGACACUGAACAUUGAGCCUUGAUGUGUAGGAUAGGUGGGAGGCUUUGAAGUGUGGACGCCAGUCUGCAUGGAGCCGACCUUGAAAUACCACCCUUUAAUGUUUGAUGUUCUAACGUUGGCCCGUAAUCCGGGUUGCGGACAGUGUCUGGUGGGUAGUUUGACUGGGGCGGUCUCCUCCUAAAGAGUAACGGAGGAGCACGAAGGUUGGCUAAUCCUGGUCGGACAUCAGGAGGUUAGUGCAAUGGCAUAAGCCAGCUUGACUGCGAGCGUGACGGCGCGAGCAGGUGCGAAAGCAGGUCAUAGUGAUCCGGUGGUUCUGAAUGGAAGGGCCAUCGCUCAACGGAUAAAAGGUACUCCGGGGAUAACAGGCUGAUACCGCCCAAGAGUUCAUAUCGACGGCGGUGUUUGGCACCUCGAUGUCGGCUCAUCACAUCCUGGGGCUGAAGUAGGUCCCAAGGGUAUGGCUGUUCGCCAUUUAAAGUGGUACGCGAGCUGGGUUUAGAACGUCGUGAGACAGUUCGGUCCCUAUCUGCCGUGGGCGCUGGAGAACUGAGGGGGGCUGCUCCUAGUACGAGAGGACCGGAGUGGACGCAUCACUGGUGUUCGGGUUGUCAUGCCAAUGGCACUGCCCGGUAGCUAAAUGCGGAAGAGAUAAGUGCUGAAAGCAUCUAAGCACGAAACUUGCC